AACCUCCGCAAUGUGAGAAAUCGCGACGGGGGGAUCCCAAGUGCCAUUCUUAACGGGAUGGCUUUUCAUUAGUGUAAAGAGCUUUUGGAAUAAGGGCUGGGCAAGACCGGUGCCAGCCGCCGCGGCAACACCGGCAGCUCUAGUGGUAGCAGUUUUUAUUGGGCCUAAAGCGUCCGUAGCCGGUUUAAUAAGUCUCUGGUGAAAUCCUGUAGCUUAACUGUGGGAAUUGCUGGAGAUACUAUUAGACUUGAGACCGGGAGAGGUUAGAGGUACUCCCAGGGUAGAGGUGAAAUUCUGUAAUCCUGGGAGGACCGCCUGUUGCGAAGGCGUCUAACUGGAACGGUUCUGACGGUGAGGGACGAAAGUUAGGGGCGCGAACCGGGAUUAGAUACCCGGGUAGUCCUAACUGUAAACGAUGCGGACUUGGUGUUGGGGUGGCUUUGAGCUGCUCCAGUGCCGAAGGGAAGCUGUUAAGUCCGCCGCCUGGGAAGUACGGUCGCAAGACUGAAACUUAAAGGAAUU
rnacentral:rRNA from 1 species